UACAGAGGUCCCAAGCGUUGUUCGGAAUUACUGGGCGUAAAGGGUUCGUAGGUGGCCGACUAAGUCAGACGUGAAAUCCCUCAGCUCAACUGGGGAACUGCGUCUGAGACUGGCCGGCUUGAGUGCAGGAGAGGAACGCGGAAUUCCAGGUGUAGCGGUGAAAUGCGUAGAUAUCUGGAGGAACACCGGUGGCGAAGGCGGCGUUCUGGACUGCUACUGACACUGAGGAACGAAAGCCAGGGGAGCAAACGGG
rnacentral:rRNA from 1 species